UACGGAGGGUGCAAGCGUUAAUCGGAAUUACUGGGCGUAAAGCGUGCGCAGGCGGUUUGUUAAGUCUGUUGUGAAAUCCCCGGGCUUAACCUGGGAACUGCAUUGGUGACUGGCGGGCUAGAGUAUGGCAGAGGGGGGUAGAAUUCCACGUGUAGCAGUGAAAUGCGUAGAGAUGUGGAGGAAUACCGAUGGCGAAGGCAGCCCCCUGGGCCAAUACUGACGCUCAUGCACGAAAGCGUGGGGAGCAAACAGG
rnacentral:rRNA from 1 species